UACGUAGGGACCAAGCGUUGUUCGGAUUUACUGGGCGUAAAGGGCGCGUAGGCGGCUUAACAAGUCACUUGUGAAAUCUCCGGGCUUAACUCGGAACGGUCAACUGAUACUGCGCGGCUAGAGUGCAGAAGGGGCAACUGGAAUUCUCGGGUGUAGCGGUGAAAUGCGUAGAUAUCGAGAGGAACACCUGCGGCGAAGGCGGGUUGCUGGGCUGACACUGACGCUGAUGCGCGAAAGCCAGGGGAGCGAACGGG
rnacentral:rRNA from 1 species